AUGCAGUGUACCCGCGGCAAGACGGAAAGACCCCGUGAACCUUUACUAUAGCUUGACACUGAACAUUGAGCCUUGAUGUGUAGGAUAGGUGGGAGGCUUAGAAGUGUGGACGCCAGUCUGCAUGGAGCCGACCUUGAAAUACCACCCUUUAAUGUUUGAUGUUCUAACGUUGACCCGUAAUCCGGGUUGCGGACAGUGUCUGGUGGGUAGUUUGACUGGGGCGGUCUCCUC
rnacentral:rRNA from 1 species